rnacentral:lncRNA from 1 species
AUCAGAUACUCUAAUGACGAAUCUCUUCCAGCCACACCCUACUCACCUUUAUUUACCACUCUGUUAAUCCCCAUCCCCCCAUCAACAGAUGCAUUCACUGAUUGGGUUAAAGCUCUCAUAACCCAUUCAUUUUUCUUCUAAACCUUCUUGCAUUAUCUUAUAAGUGAGCUUUUGGGGACACAUCACAACCAACCCAUGACACACAUUCCCACAAGGGAUGGAUCAGUAACCAUAUAGGUAUUUUUAAAAGCAAAGUGAACCCCGACAUACCAUAUGUUUGCUUUUAUUAUCAGAUUGCCAAGGACCUCCUCCAAUAGGAGAUACAGAAAUUCUGUUAGGUUCCUGGCCUGACCAGCCUUAUCCAGAGGGUACUCAGGCUACCUACAAAUGCCACCCUGGCUAUAGAACACUUGGUACCAUCAAAAGGGCAUGCAGAAAUGGAGAAUGGGUGGCUCUUAAUCCAGGCAGGAUAUGUCAGAGUAAGUACUUCACUUCUUAAAACAAUACUUAUUCUUAAGUUUUAGGUGGACACAAUAUCUUUAUUUUACAUUUCUGUGGUGCUGAGGAUUGAACCCAGUGCCUCUUGCAUGCUAGGUGAGCACUCUACCACUGAGCCAUUACCCCAGCCCCGAGUACUUCAUUUUUUUGUGUGAAACUUCAUAUCUUUUAGUUGUGAAAAUGCUUAAUACUUGAUAUUGUAACAAUAAUGGUUGAAUUAUAUCAUUCUUAUCAUUUUAAUACAAAACAAUACAUGAUUAUUUUUAAAAAGAGGACAGUAAUCCGAAAAAAUUAAAAAAUACAAUUAUAAAAUAAUAGCUUUGCUAUUUUCAAUUUUCCUUAUAUUCAAUGUUGUCCUCUAAUUAAAUGCCGAAUAUCUUUGUCCACCAACUCCUACAUAGAAUGUGUUCCCUGUAUAACAUACUAAUACAUAUACAUAUAUUAUUUUUAUUUUAGAGAAGCCCUGUGGACAUCCUGGGGAUAUUCCAUUUGGUUCUUUUCAUCUUGAAGUAGGAAAUAAAUUUGAAUAUGGUGCAAAAGUUGUUUAUAAAUGUGACGAGGGGUAUGUAGUCAAUAUUGA